rnacentral:lncRNA from 12 species
CAUCUCCAAAGAGCUGCAGAAAUUCAGUGGCUCGUGGUUUUCUCACUCCAAACUGAGGAGUUACCUUGUGAUUGCCAGUGGAAAGGCAGCAUAUGUCACAUGCUGAGCUGAGGAGCUGGUGGGAGGUCUGGUGAGACAUCGGGCAGACUCCAGGGCUGGCUCACACUCGGACCACAUCUGCUCUUCACUGCAGAUUCUAGGGAUACUGAAGAGAUGCUUAUAGACAGAGACAGAAGAGAGAGACAAGGGGGAGAGGGAGAACUCCUUAAGAGGUAAAAAACUAAUUUGAACCAAUAAGA